GGAUGGGUGGAAGGCCCAGUCCCGGCAGCCCGAGGGAGCCCGGGGCGGGGCGGCCGCUCCCGGCCGCAGGCGAGGCGAGAAGGGGCGGGCGGAGGAGCCGCGUCCCUGCGUGGGUCACGGCGCGGUGCAGGGUCUCCUGGGCUCGCCGGCUUUUUUGACACAGGCUGGGAACUCCUUUUCCCGGACGCGGAGCAGGAGCUCUCCCGACGCUGCCCGGGGAGCGCCGGCCGGGCCGGUGCCGCUGCAGGAAGGGCCAUCCUCCGACCCUGGAAAGCCCUGGUGCAGCUCGCCAGUUUCCGUGUUCAGGGGUUUAUGUGGGAAUCGGAGCAGAAUGGAUCGGUAUCGAUAUUUCAUCUUUAACCAAAGGAACAUGGUCGUGCUGGGGCUGUUCCAGAUUGCCUUCAGCACCGUCUGUGUCACCAGUGGGUUCAUAGAUGGCAUUUUCAGAACAGAGUCUCAGCUGGGCAAAACCAGAGCUCCAAUUUGGGCUGGCAUGGUGAUGGGAGUCCCAGGUGUCCUGGCUUUGUUCUCCUCGCAGAGGAAGAAUCCAGUUCUUGUAAAUGUACUGAUAGUUGCUUCCAUAAUCUCUUGUGUUGCCAUCUUCAUUGUAGUAGUUUAUAGCUCCUUCACACUGAACUAUGGUGAAGAGGAGGAGCUGAGUUCUGCCCCAGUCCAUGUUAUCCAUACUAGGUUCGUACUCAGUAAAGUUGUCAAGGGUGCUAACAUAGCCAUGCUGGCUGUAUCCAUCUGCAGUGCCUUUUCUGUGCUGGCCAUGGCUUACUUGGGAUGCCGGAGUCUUCCAUGCUGCUCCUGCUAUGACAGCGUAACCGGGAUGGAAUGGUUGCAGCCUAGUGAGGACCAAAAUCAGGCUGUGGAAAUGAUUUGCGCUGUACAAAGCCCUGGGAGGAGAAUUUUUAACUUCACAGAUCGGUUUCCAGCCCAGGAUGUAGAGGCAGAAGAAGACACAUCCAAACCUCCACCGUAUAUCAGAAUGACUUGAAAAAGUGGCCGAACAUUUUGUUCAAAUGUGGCAAGAGAGAAGCGAUCAGUUCUUAAUCUUUAAAGAUGGUUGUGCACUUUUCCUUGGCCAUUUGAAAAACACACACUGAGUGAACUAGCGAAUGUCCAGCACUGAGCAGAGAUCACAGUGCAGAGGGAAAUGCCUGCAGGAUCACAGAGCCACAGACUUCUUUAUGUUGGAAAGGACUUUUAAUAUCAUUGAGUCCAACCACUGAUCCUUAUUGUUCCCUUCCAAAGUGAGAUAUGACUCCAUAAUUCUCCAGCACCAACAGUGUGUGGGAGGCUGUGCAGAGCCCAGUGAAUCCCAGAACACCCCUGCAAAACAGCAGCCAUUCUUCUUCUCUCAAUGCCUCUUCACAGCCCUCACUGAUGAUGCCAUUCAGCUGGAUAAAUGAGGCCUCCUUUGGGCACCCGGCAUCAACAGAGGAGAAGAAAAUCCCACAUCCUCACAGACAUCCUCAGAACAGUGGUAUUUUUUUUGUGAGUCCUAGAAUAAUGACAACUUCUAAUUAUGUUAUUUAUGACUUUAGAUUUAAGAUUACGUAUUGGUAUUGUGUUGAUUUCCACAGAAAAACCAGACUGCCAUUUAAAAGUAAAAUAACUAUUACUUUUAAAUAACAUAUGGAUCUACAUUUAUCUGGGAAUUGCAAUGUUGAGCAACAUCAGUCAAUGACCUCAAAAGUAGGACUCUGGGAAAAAAACCCGAGUAUUAGAAUGAUACAUUCUGGUGAAGUGAAAAUACUCCCAGAGGGGACAAGAAAUAUGACUUUCAACAAAUUUAUAAAAGUUAAAGAGGUUUUAUUUCUGAACAAGAUAAGACUAGAAGAAGAGUAAUGGAUAAUACUCCUUUAGGAUGUUGAUUUACAUCCAAGGAUCAGUAAUUGCUAUUUUUGUAAGUGUUGUUUUACUUCCCAUUCUUCUGGAAUCUGAAAUAAAUACUAGAUAUGCCUCUGAAUCAUCAGGUGGGUGCUUCAGAUGCCCCAAAAUCACCCAGAGUUAUUGCAAGAAAGCACUGACAGUAGUCCAAGUAUUGUGACAGUCUUUUUUGUAAAAAUUAUCACUCACACAGACAGAAACUAGAAAUCCUUUAACUCCCUCACAGCAUUUUUAACCAUAUGGAAUUAUAUUAUUAUUUCUAUUACAAUUAUUGAAAACAAGUGGUAACAGUUUGUGGCAAAGCCCGUUUAUUAGUUUUCUGGGACUGUGCCUUGCCUGCCCCCAACACAUACAAAAGAACACAAACUUUACAUUCUGGCAAAGUGAAAAUACACAUACAGAGUAUUCAGUACUCUGUUAUCCAUCCUGUGGGCAGCACAUCACCACUGAAAGCCAGGGAGCAACACUGAAUCCUGCAUUACUGACCACACUGCCUCCAUGGCAGAGCCAUUAAAACAUGCUUUGUGCUGAACAUGGAAUUACACACUUGAACACCAUUUGCACACAAUUUUCAUGACAUGAGGGCCCUUAUUUACAAGUUGUGGUAACUUAAAUAAAACUUAACAGAUGUGCAGGUGUUUCAGAUCAAAUUUAACAGUAACACUGCAGCUACAUGAUUUUCUUACCCCCACCCCCAACCUGACUGGCUUCAAAAGCCUUAAUUCUGGGAUGUUUUAUUAAAAACAAACAGACAAAUAAAACAAACAAACAGAAACCCAAACCGAACAAACAAAAAAAAAACCCCACGAAAACUCACUGACAUAUUUAGUAUACCAAAAAUUAAGAAGGAUCCUUCUCAGAAAAAGGAUUAAGGACAUGAGUGAAAAACAAUCUGUCCUACAGGACUGUAAACCAUAUUUACUUACCACAGUAUAAACAUCAAUUUAAAAUCAGUAAUUUUCUUAAAGAAAUCAUUAAGGACACUAGUGUUAAAAAGAUGAUUGUUUCUGAAACAACUGUAAAUUCUAGUCAUGUAAGGUUCAGAGUGAUUACAAAAGCUUCCUUUUACAAAUGCUUCCUAAGCAAAAAUACUGUCACAAUUGAAGCAGCUUUAUACUGGAAAAAGUACUACCUUUUGUUUAGAUUAUUUUUAAACAUCUUAAUCAUAUAAGACCAAAUUAAAUGCUCUUUCAAAAUCUAGAAAAAAGCCAAUGCAUUUUUUUUCUGUAUAAGUUGCAGUGACAUUACAUCUUAAGAGUUGUAAUAGUUUACAUAAUAACAGGUAUCUUGUUUCAGUAAUUUGUUUCUAAUGUGAUGAUUAGGGUGGCAGCUUCUGAACUAGCCCUUCCACUGAGUUUCCAGUAAGCAACACAUGCUACACAUUGCCAAUUAAAAAAAAAAAAAUCUUCAUUUAUACUUCAAAAACUAAGUCACAAAACAUUGUUUGCCAUGGCACGUGAAUGAAGUCAUAGAUUGCAUUCUAUGGCUUACAUUUCACUUUAUGCAACUAAGUGCAACUUAGCACCAUUUUUAUUAUGAAACUUGAUCUUCAGAUAGAACCCAAAAAAAGCAGUUGCAACUAUGAGAACACAGAAAAAGGUGGUCCAAGAGGAAGAAUUUCCCUCAUCUAACCCCUACUAGGCUCCCACUAGUAAUGCCAAGGAUGUCCUACAUACAGUCACAACAUUAUACAUGCAGGUUUUCCCUCAAAAAUCAGUAACAGAUGAUGUUGUUGGUAGAUUUAUUCCAUAUUUCAAAACUCAGUUUAGUUUGUGUUUGGAAAUAUUUUAAGAAUGUACCAUAUUCCUAAGCAUCCCCAUUCCUGAAAUAUGUUAUCAAGUUGGCUUUUCAAGAUAUCUGAGAAGCACUCAUCUCCUAAAGCCCUGCAAACCCUAUCUUUGAAGAGCAGUAUGCUUUUGCCAAAUUCACCCAAUCUUUUAUUUACUCAACUGUUUUUAUUUACCCUGAGACACUCAACUCAAAUACAGCACCUUCAGAAAUAUAUAAUUUAAUUUUAGUAAGACCCAAUUUUACCCCAAAUCCUGCACUACAGUACUAUCCGCAAUAUGGGUUAACAUAACAUAGUUUGGUAUCACAUGCUAAUUACGAAAAAUUAAUGAAGUUUUAAGUAUCAAAUAACUGUCUAGAGGUAGGGAGAAGUUAGCUAAUUCCAUUACCACUGCCAUGAAGAAACAGAACAAGUUCAUAGUGGAAUGACAGGCAAAAACCUAGCAAUUUGCACCGACACUGGCAGCCUAAACUUUGACAGACCUGGUAUUUUUGCUUUUGUAAUAAAAAGGUACCUGCUUUCUAAUUUCCUACAAGCCAUCUAAUAUUCCUUCAAAUGC